rnacentral:rRNA from 1 species
GAGUUUGAUUAUGGCUCAGGAUGAACGCUGGCGGCGUGCCUAAUACAUGCAAGUUGAACGGACUUGGAGGGUGCUUGCACCUAACAAGUUAGUAGCGAACGGGUGAGUAAUACAUAAGCAACCUACCUAUUAGACUGGGAUAACUAUGGGAAACGAUAGCUAAUACCGGAUAGGUAACUUGAAGGCAUCUUUAAGUUAUUAAAGGUUAGAGACACUAAUAGAUGGGCUUAUGGCGUAUUAGUUAGUUGGUGAGGUAACGGCUCACCAAGACGAUGAUACGUAGCCGGCCUGAGAGGGUGAACGGCCACAUUGGGACUGAGACACGGCCCAGACUCCUACGGGAGGCAGCAGUAGGGAAUUUUCGGCAAUGGGCGCAAGCCUGACCGAGCAACGCCGCGUGAGUGAAGAAGGCCUUCGGGUUGUAAAGCUCUGUUAUAAAUUAAGAAUGGCUAUAAGGGA